GGCUGGUCUGAUGGUAGUGGGUUAACAGAACUUAUUACUUUAGUGUCACUAAAGUUGUUGUACAACCCCCACUGCUUAAUUUGACAGAGUAUAAA
rnacentral:Y_RNA from 1 species